UUAAUUUGAGAGUUUGAUCCUGGCUCAGGACGAACGCUGGCGGCGUGCCUAAUACAUGCAAGUCGAACGAACUCUGGUAUUGAUUGGUGCUUGCAUCAUGAUUUACAUUUGAGUGAGUGGCGAACUGGUGAGUAACACGUGGGAAACCUGCCCAGAAGCGGGGGAUAACACCUGGAAACAGAUGCUAAUACCGCAUAACAACUUGGACCGCAUGGUCCGAGUUUGAAAGAUGGCUUCGGCUAUCACUUUUGGAUGGUCCCGCGGCGUAUUAGCUAGAUGGUGGGGUAACGGCUCACCAUGGCAAUGAUACGUAGCCGACCUGAGAGGGUAAUCGGCCACAUUGGGACUGAGACACGGCCCAAACUCCUACGGGAGGCAGCAGUAGGGAAUCUUCCACAAUGGACGAAAGUCUGAUGGAGCAACGCCGCGUGAGCGAAGAAGGGUUUCGGCUCGUAAAACUCUGUUGUUAAAGAAGAACAUAUCUGAGAGUAACUGUUCAGGUAUUGACGGUAUUUAACCAGAAAGCCACGGCUAACUACGUGCCAGCAGCCGCGGUAAUACGUAGGUGGCAAGCGUUGUCCGGAUUUAUUGGGCGUAAAGCGAGCGCAGGCGGUUUUUUAAGUCUGAUGUGAAAGCCUUCGGCUCAACCGAAGAAGUGCAUCGGAAACUGGGAAACUUGAGUGCAGAAGAGGACAGUGGAACUCCAUGUGUAGCGGUGAAAUGCGUAGAUAUAUGGAAGAACACCAGUGGCGAAGGCGGCUGUCUGGUCUGUAACUGACGCUGAGGCUCGAAAGUAUGGGUAGCAAACAGGAUUAGAUACCCUGGUAGUCCAUACCGUAAACGAUGAAUGCUAAGUGUUGGAGGGUUUCCGCCCUUCAGUGCUGCAGCUAACGCAUUAAGCAUUCCGCCUGGGAAGUACGGCCGCAAGGCUGAAACUCAAAGGAAUUGACGGGGGCCCGCACAAGCGGUGGAGCAUGUGGUUUAAUUCGAAGCUACGCGAAGAACCUUACCAGGUCUUGACAUACUAUGCAAAUCUAAGAGAUUAGACGUUCCCUUCGGGGACAUGGAUACAGGUGGUGCAUGGUUGUCGUCAGCUCGUGUCGUGAGAUGUUGGGUUAAGUCCCGCAACGAGCGCAACCCUUAUUAUCAGUUGCCAGCAUUAAGUUGGGCACUCUGGUGAGACUGCCGGUGACAAACCGGAGGAAGGUGGGGAUGACGUCAAAUCAUCAUGCCCCUUAUGACCUGGGCUACACACGUGCUACAAUGGAUGGUACAACGAGUUGCGAACUCGCGAGAGUAAGCUAAUCUCUUAAAGCCAUUCUCAGUUCGGAUUGUAGGCUGCAACUCGCCUACAUGAAGUCGGAAUCGCUAGUAAUCGCGGAUCAGCAUGCCGCGGUGAAUACGUUCCCGGGCCUUGUACACACCGCCCGUCACACCAUGAGAGUUUGUAACACCCAAAGUCGGUGGGGUAACCUUUUAGGAACCAGCCGCCUAAGGUGGGACAGAUGAUUAGGGUGAAGUCGUAACAAGGUAGCCGUAGGAGAACCUGCGGCUGGAUCACCUCCUUUCUAAGGAA
rnacentral:rRNA from 2 species